UUAAAUUGAAGAGUUUGAUCAUGGCUCAGAUUGAACGCUGGCGGCAGGCCUAACACAUGCAAGUCGAACGGUAACAGGAAGCAGCUUGCUGCUUCGCUGACGAGUGGCGGACGGGUGAGUAAUGUCUGGGAAACUGCCUGAUGGAGGGGGAUAACUACUGGAAACGGUGGCUAAUACCGCAUAACGUCGCAAGACCAAAGAGGGGGACCUUCGGGCCUCUUGCCAUCAGAUGUGCCCAGAUGGGAUUAGCUUGUUGGUGAGGUAACGGCUCACCAAGGCGACGAUCCCUAGCUGGUCUGAGAGGAUGACCAGCCACACUGGAACUGAGACACGGUCCAGACUCCUACGGGAGGCAGCAGUGGGGAAUAUUGCACAAUGGGCGCAAGCCUGAUGCAGCCAUGCCGCGUGUAUGAAGAAGGCCUUCGGGUUGUAAAGUACUUUCAGCGGGGAGGAAGGUGUUGUGGUUAAUAACCGCAGCAAUUGACGUUACCCGCAGAAGAAGCACCGGCUAACUCCGUGCCAGCAGCCGCGGUAAUACGGAGGGUGCAAGCGUUAAUCGGAAUUACUGGGCGUAAAGCGCACGCAGGCGGUCUGUCAAGUCGGAUGUGAAAUCCCCGGGCUCAACCUGGGAACUGCAUUCGAAACUGGCAGGCUUGAGUCUUGUAGAGGGGGGUAGAAUUCCAGGUGUAGCGGUGAAAUGCGUAGAGAUCUGGAGGAAUACCGGUGGCGAAGGCGGCCCCCUGGACAAAGACUGACGCUCAGGUGCGAAAGCGUGGGGAGCAAACAGGAUUAGAUACCCUGGUAGUCCACGCCGUAAACGAUGUCUACUUGGAGGUUGUGCCCUUGAGGCGUGGCUUCCGGAGCUAACGCGUUAAGUAGACCGCCUGGGGAGUACGGCCGCAAGGUUAAAACUCAAAUGAAUUGACGGGGGCCCGCACAAGCGGUGGAGCAUGUGGUUUAAUUCGAUGCAACGCGAAGAACCUUACCUGGUCUUGACAUCCACGGAAGUUUUCAGAGAUGAGAAUGUGCCUUCGGGAACCGUGAGACAGGUGCUGCAUGGCUGUCGUCAGCUCGUGUUGUGAAAUGUUGGGUUAAGUCCCGCAACGAGCGCAACCCUUAUCCUUUGUUGCCAGCGAUUAGGUCGGGAACUCAAAGGAGACUGCCAGUGAUAAACUGGAGGAAGGUGGGGAUGACGUCAAGUCAUCAUGGCCCUUACGACCAGGGCUACACACGUGCUACAAUGGCGCAUACAAAGAGAAGCGACCUCGCGAGAGCAAGCGGACCUCAUAAAGUGCGUCGUAGUCCGGAUUGGAGUCUGCAACUCGACUCCAUGAAGUCGGAAUCGCUAGUAAUCGUGGAUCAGAAUGCCACGGUGAAUACGUUCCCGGGCCUUGUACACACCGCCCGUCACACCAUGGGAGUGGGUUGCAAAAGAAGUAGGUAGCUUAACCUUCGGGAGGGCGCUUACCACUUUGUGAUUCAUGACUGGGGUGAAGUCGUAACAAGGUAACCGUAGGGGAACCUGCGGUUGGAUCACCUCCUUACCUUAAAGAAGC
rnacentral:rRNA from 7 species